CCCGCAGAGACGCCGGCCGUGUCUGCGUAGGCCGUGUAGCCGGUGACCGGAAGUGAGAAGCAGGUGCUCCAGUGGCGCAAUCGGUUAGCGCGCGGUACUUAUACAGCAGUAUGUGUGCGAGGGAUGCCGAGGUUGUGAGUUCGAGCCUCACCUGGAGCAUCGUUUUCCAGCCAGAGGCUACAUCCUCGAGGGAGACCCUUUCCUCUGCUUCCCCAGACCCUUUCCUCUGCCGCCCCAGGUCCUUCCGGACCAUGUCGCACCAUCUUUGAUGUGUCUGAAUUUGUUCUAAAUCCUGUGUCCUCGCCGUUCUCCGUGGCGCUUGUGAAAUCGAACAGUGUCAAGCCUUUACAGACUGAAUCUGCUGCGCUGCAACGGUGGCAUCACCUCUAGUAUUGUCCCCCACCACCCUUAAGUCUUCCCUGAUGAACCAACAACGAGGGAUGAUACAGCAGCAUUUGCCAACUGAGAAACAGAACCUGGUGUCCUCAGAUGAUGCAAUUGUCUGGGGCUGGUACAGGAUGAGUGAUAAAGAGCCCCAGCAACCAGAAGUCUGUAGAAAGUCACAGGAGUGAGCAUAACCACAAUUGUGCCUGAGGGAGAAGCUAGAUUCCAUGUAAGAAGUCUAAGACUGUGAUGUUCUGAAGAGGUUCCGGCUAAUCACAGGGAAAGCCUACACAGAGAUUCCUGACCAGCUCCGAGCUGUUCCAGACAUUCCAGCUGAAAUAUCAAACCUGAAGGCCAUCACAGAUAUUCCAAGCCUAACGGAUACCCCAUGGAGCAGAGAGAAGCCAUCUCUGUCAAUCCCUGCCCAA